ensembl:rRNA 5S_rRNA 5S ribosomal RNA
UGCCACAGCCAUAUCACCCUGCAGCUCAAGACCGGUUACUCACUGAAGCUAACCAGGACUGAGUACUGGUCAGUACCUGAAUGGAAGACCACAUGGAAAAACUAGGUUGCUGUUGUAA